AGAACGAACGCUGGCGGCAUGCCUAAUACAUGCAAGUCGAACGAACUCUUCGGAGUUAGUGGCGCACGGGUGCGUAACGCGUGGGAAUCUGCCCCUUGGUUCGGAAUAACAGUUGGAAACGACUGCUAAUACCGGAUGAUGACGAAAGUCCAAAGAUUUAUCGCCAAGGGAUGAGCCCGCGUAGGAUUAGCUAGUUGGUGAGGUAAAGGCUCACCAAGGCAACGAUCCUUAGCUGGUCUGAGAGGAUGAUCAGCCACACUGGGACUGAGACACGGCCAGACUCCUACGGGAGGCAGCAGUAGGGAAAUAUUGGACAAUGGGCGAAAAGCCUGAUCCAGCAAAUGCCGCGUGAGUGAUGAAGG
rnacentral:rRNA from 1 species